rnacentral:rRNA from 1 species
GCCUGGCCCUAAACCUCAGUAGUUAGAUAACAAAACUACUCGCCAGAAUACUACGAGCUACAGCUUAAAACUCAAAGGACUUGACGGUGCUUUACACCCCCUAGAGGAGCCUGUUCCGUAAUCGAUAAACCCCGAUCCACCCCACCCUCUCUUGCUCAGCCUAUAUACCGCCAUCUUCAGCAAACCCCAAUGAAGGUCACAAAGUGAGCGCAAACGCCACCACCGCGAAUACGUUAGGUCAAGGUGUAGCCUAUGAGAUGGUAAAAAAUGGGCUACAUUUUCUACCUCAGAAAAUUCCACGAAAGCCCUUAUGAAAUUUAAGGACCCAAGGAGGAUUUAGCAGUAAAUUAAGAAUAGAGUGCUUAAUUGAACUAGGCCAUAAAGCGCGC